rnacentral:rRNA from 1 species
CCUACGGGAGGCAGCAGUGGGGAAUAUUGGACAAUGGGCGCAAGCCUGAUCCAGCCAUACCGCGUGUGUGAAGAAGGCCUUUUGGUUGUAAAGCACUUUAAGCGAGGAGGAGGCUCUUGAGGAUAAUACCCUUGAUGAGUGGACGUUACUCGCAGAAUAAGCACCGGCUAACUCUGUGCCAGCAGCCGCGGUAAUACAGAGGGUGCGAGCGUUAAUCGGAAUUACUGGGCGUAAAGCGCGCGUAGGCGGCUUGUUAAGUCGGAUGUGAAAUCCCCGGGCUCAACCUGGGCACUGCAUUCGAUACUGGCAAGCUAGAGUAUGGGAGAGGAAGGUAGAAUUCCAGGUGUAGCGGUGAAAUGCGUAGAGAUCUGGAGGAAUACCGAUGGCGAAGGCAGCCUUCUGGCCUAAUACUGACGCUGAGGUGCGAAAGCAUGGGGAGCAAACAGGAUUAGAUACCCUGGUAGUCCAUGCCGUAAACGAUGUCAACUAGCCGUUGGGGACCUUGAGUCUUUAGUGGCGCNGCGUAACGUCGAGUUAAGUUAGUACCGCCGUUGGGGUAGGUUACGGUUCGGCGAGACGUUAAAACGUUACGAAAGGAAGUUAGACGGCGUUGAGGACGNGCCGACGGACGACGACGAGGGAGGUAGG